rnacentral:rRNA from 1 species
AUUGAACGCUGGCGGCAAGCUUAACACAUGCGAGUCGAGCGAAGAUGAGGUGCUUGCACCUUAUCUUAGCGGCGGACGGGUGAGUAAUGCUUAGGAAUCUGCCUAUUAGUGGGGGACAACAUUCCGAAAGGAAUGCUAAUACCGCAUACGUCCUACGGGAGAAAGCAGGGGAUCUUCGGACCUUGCGCUAAUAGAUGAGCCUAAGUCGGAUUAGCUAGUUGGUGGGGUAAAGGCCUACCAAGGCGACGAUCUGUAGCGGGUCUGAGAGGAUGAUCCGCAACACUGGGACUGAGAGACGGCCCAGACUCCUACUGGAGGCAGCAGUGGGGAAUAUUGGACAAUGGGCGGAAGCCUGAUCCAGCCAUGCCGCGUGUGAAGAAGGCCUUUUGGUUGUAAAGCACUUUAAGCGAGGAGGAGGCUACCUGGAUUAAUACUCUGGGAUAGUGGACGUUACUCGCAGAAUAAGCACCGGCUAACUCUGUGCCAGCCGCCGCCGUAAGAC